AGGAUGAUCAGCCACACUGGAACUGAGACACGGUCCAGACUCCUACGGGAGGCAGCAGUGGGGAAUAUUGCACAAUGGGCGCAAGCCUGAUGCAGCCAUGCCGCGUGUGUGAAGAAGGCCUUCGGGUUGUAAAGCACUUUCAGUCGUGAGGAAGGUAGUGUAGUUAAUAGCUGCAUUAUUUGACGUUAGCGACAGAAGAAGCACCGGCUAACUCCGUGCCAGCAGCCGCGGUAAUACGGAGGGUGCGAGCGUUAAUCGGAAUUACUGGGCGUAAAGCGCAUGCAGGUGGUUUGUUAAGUCAGAUGUGAAAGCCCGGGGCUCAACCUCGGAAUAGCAUUUGAAACUGGCAGACUAGAGUACUGUAGAGGGGGGUAGAAUUUCAGGUGUAGCGGUGAAAUGCGUAGAGAUCUGAAGGAAUACCGGUGGCGAAGGCGGCCCCCUGGACAGAUACUGACACUCAGAUGCGAAAGCGUGGGGAGCAAACAGGAUUAGAUACCCUGGUAGUCCACGCCGUAAACGAUGUCUACUUGGAGGUUGUGGCCUUGAGCCGUGGCUUUCGGAGCUAACGCGUUAAGUAGACCGCCUGGGGAGUACGGUCGCAAGAUUAAAACUCAAAUGAAUUGACGGGGGCCCGCACAAGCGGUGGAGCAUGUGGUUUAAUUCGAUGCAACGCGAAGAACCUUACCUACUCUUGACAUCCAGAGAACUUUCCAGAGAUGGAUUGGUGCCUUCGGGAACUCUGAGACAGGUGCUGCAUGGCUGUCGUCAGCUCGUGUUGUGAAAUGUUGGGUUAAGUCCCGCAACGAGCGCAACCCUUAUCCUUGUUUGCCAGCGAGUAAUGUCGGGAACUCCAGGGAGACUGCCGGUGAUAAACCGGAGGAAGGUGGGGACGACGUCAAGUCAUCAUGGCCCUUACGAGUAGGGCUACACACGU
rnacentral:rRNA from 1 species